GAGCCGGAGGGAAACCGAGUCUUAACCGGGCGUUAAGUUGCAGGGUAUAGACCCGAAACCCGGUGAUCUAGCCAUGGGCAGGUUGAAGGUUGGGUAACACUAACUGGAGGACCGAACCGACUAAUGUUGAAAAAUUAGCGGAUGACCUGUGGCUGGGGGUGAAAGGCCAAUCAAACCGGGAGAUAGCUGGUUCUCCCCGAAAGCUAUUUAGGUAGCGCCUCGUGAACUCAUCUCCGGGGGUAGAGCACUGUUUCGGCUAGGGGGCCAUCCCGGCUUACCAACCCGAUGCAAACUGCGAAUACCGGAGAAUGUUAUCACGGGAGACACACGGCGGGUGCUAACGUCCGUCGUGAAGAGGGAAACAACCCAGACCGCCAGCUAAGGUCCCAAAGUCAUGGUUAAGUGGGAAACGAUGUGGGAAGGCCCAGACAGCCAGGAUGUUGGCUUAGAAGCAGCCAUCAUUUAAAGAAAGCGUAAUAGCUCACUGGUCGAGUCGGCCUGCGCGGAAGAUGUAACGGGGCUAAACCAUGCACCGAAGCUGCGGCAGCGACGCUGAUGCGUUGUUGGGUAGGGGAGCGUUCUGUAAGCCUGCGAAGGUGGCCUGUGAGGGUUGCUGGAGGUAUCAGAAGUGCGAAUGCUGACAUAAGUAACGAUAAAGCGGGUGAAAAGCCCGCUCGCCGGAAGACCAAGGGUUCCUGUCCAACGUUAAUCGGGGCAGGGUGAGUCGACCCCUAAGGCGAGGCCGAAAGGCGUAGUCGAUGGGAAACGGGUUAAUAUUCCCGUACUUGGUGUUACUGCGAAGGGGGGACGGAGAAGGCUAUGUUGGCCGGGCGACGGUUGUCCCGGUUUAAGCGUGUAGGUGUGUGUUCCAGGUAAAUCCGGUUCACUUUAACACUGAGGCGUGAUGACGAGGCACUACGGUGCUGAAGCAACAAAUGCCCUGCUUCCAGGAAAAGCCUCUAAGCAUCAGGUAACAUCAAAUCGUACCCCAAACCGACACAGGUGGUCAGGUAGAGAAUACCAAGGCGCUUGAGAGAACUCGGGUGAAGGAACUAGGCAAAAUGGUGCCGUAACUUCGGGAGAAGGCACGCUGACACGUAGGUGAAGUGAUUUACUCAUGGAGCUGAAGUCAGUCGAAGAUACCAGCUGGCUGCAACUGUUUAUUAAAAACACAGCACUGUGCAAACACGAAAGUGGACGUAUACGGUGUGACGCCUGCCCGGUGCCGGAAGGUUAAUUGAUGGGGUCAGCGCAAGCGAAGCUCCUGAUCGAAGCCCCGGUAAACGGCGGCCGUAACUAUAACGGUCCUAAGGUAGCGAAAUUCCUUGUCGGGUAAGUUCCGACCUGCACGAAUGGCGUAAUGAUGGCCAGGCUGUCUCCACCCGAGACUCAGUGAAAUUGAACUCGCUGUGAAGAUGCAGUGUACCCGCGGCAAGACGGAAAGACCCCGUGAACCUUUACUAUAGCUUGACACUGAACAUUGAGCCUUGAUGUGUAGGAUAGGUGGGAGGCUUUGAAGUGUGGACGCCAGUCUGCAUGGAGCCGACCUUGAAAUACCACCCUUUAAUGUUUGAUGUUCUAACGUGGACCCGUGAUCCGGGUUGCGGACAGUGUCUGGUGGGUAGUUUGACUGGGGCGGUCUCCUCCUAAAGAGUAACGGAGGAGCACGAAGGUUGGCUAAUCCUGGUCGGACAUCAGGAGGUUAGUGCAAUGGCAUAAGCCAGCUUGACUGCGAGCGUGACGGCGCGAGCAGGUGCGAAAGCAGGUCAUAGUGAUCCGGUGGUUCUGAAUGGAAGGGCCAUCGCUCAACGGAUAAAAGGUACUCCGGGGAUAACAGGCUGAUACCGCCCAAGAGUUCAUAUCGACGGCGGUGUUUGGCACCUCGAUGUCGGCUCAUCACAUCCUGGGGCUGAAGUAGGUCCCAAGGGUAUGGCUGUUCGCCAUUUAAAGUGGUACGCGAGCUGGGUUUAGAACGUCGUGAGACAGUUCGGUCCCUAUCUGCCGUGGGCGCUGGAGAACUGAGGGGGGCUGCUCCUAGUACGAGAGGACCGGAGUGGACGCAUCACUGGUGUUCGGGUUGUCAUGCCAAUGGCACUGCCCGGUAGCUAAAUGCGGAAGAGAUAAGUGCUGAAAGCAUCUAAGCACGAAACUUGCCCCGAGAUGAGUUCUCCCUGAGACUUUAGGUCUCCUGAAGGAACGUUGAAGACGACGACGUUGAUAGGCCGGGUGUGUAAGCGCAGCGAUGCGUUGAGCUAACCGGUACUAAUGAACCGUGAGGCUUAACCUUACA
rnacentral:rRNA from 1 species